AUCACUUCCCUUGAAGAGGAUUUUGACCUUGUAUCUGUCUUUUAGUCAUGACCUGGGUUGGAAAUUAGGGUCAUUAUUCUUUAUUUUUGUCUUCUUGUCUUGAUAUUUCUGAGUGUUUUUCCCCUCUAAACAUCCCUUGAGUGUGCUAAACCUGAUUUCUUCAUUUAAGAUACCAUAAACUGAUAUUGUUGUUGUUGGAGUGAAUCUUUAUUUGUGGCUUUAUCUUAGUUACUUAUGUUGAUCUAAAUGUUUGUUUCCUGUUGUCUACACCAUCCCUACCGAGGAAAGUGUUUUUCAACAGCCUGUGAGAGGGCUUUAGUUUUGUAUUUCCUGCGUUGUAUUAGUUGUAUGAUGCUCCCAGAGGACAAAAGAGAGAAAAUGAUGAAUGGAGUCAGUGUUGCACACUUGUGGGUACUGCAGCUGUAAUUGCUAGAUUUCUUUGCAUCUCCACAGCCUGAAGAAGAUGCAGUGGAUACUUGUUGGUGUGUGUGUUUUUUUUUAUUGGCUGUUUACCUGCAAAACCCAGCUUGAGUGUCUGGACCUGAAAUUUUGAUGCCAUUUUUUUGCUGCAAUUAUUCUGUCCUCCUUGAUAAUAUUAGAUUUGGUCAGAUAGAUAGAGACAGAUAUCGAGAUAUAUGUAAAACUGUUAAUUAUUUGCAUUGAGAUGUCAAAAACAAAUCACCCUCCAACGGACAUAUUGUCUUUUUUGACCUUUUUUUUUCAGAUUCCUAAUACUAUAAAAAAAAAUAAUAAAAUCUGCCCUCUUCAAGUAUGUAAGUAGGGAGGAACACCUCGGAAUAUAAAAUGCAUUAUACCCCCACCACUGCAAUGACCUCCAUAGUAAACACAUAACUGAAUUCAUACAUUUCUGACAAUGUCACAAUUGUGACACUGUCUGCAUUUCAUCGUUUUAUUGAAUAAAUCAAACUGACAACAGUUCACAGUUAGUUAUUAUGUGAUUUUCAGUACUUGGACCCCACUUCGCUGCAUAGGACUUUUUCAUAAACUAAAAAUAUAUUUCUAAAUAUUUAAGAGCAACCUGAAAAAGAUUUUUAUUUACUGAACUUUAUUUGGAUGCUCAAUUUAUUAGAAAUAAAGUAGCAUCCAACACAGUGGCAUCUACUCUUGAUGCAUGUGACUUACACCUAUAAAACAUAGUCAGCAUAAAUAUUACCUUAAAUCAAACACUUUUUCUCAUUAGUUCUAUCUCAAGCUGUGAAAUGAUAAUUUUAAAUCAUAGAUUACUUAAGGCAGAUUUGUACUGUGACUACUGUGCUAAGCUAAUUUGAAUCUUUUCUGUGCUAUGUGGUUCAGCUGCAAUGACCGCAGCAGACACUAGAGGUCCCUAUAAGACUGCAGAAGCAUUUAGCUCAUAUGUGGCCCUAUCUCCCUCCUCUUGUGAGCAACAUAACAACACAUUCCUAGUUUUACACAGUAAAGCUUCAUUCAUCAAUCAUUCCAUCCACAAAUCCAGCAAUCUCAGUAUUCAUCCAAUCACAUCAAAUACACAAAGUCUGCAUCAUCAACACAAUCUCAAAUCUGAUUUUAUCUUCCAAAUGUAUUUCCCUCACAUCAAAGUCUUCUUCCCAAACACCACUUUGGGUCCUGUCUUGGUCCCUCGUGGUUCUGCAGAGAUGAUCCAGAUGGCAGGAGCUUUCAUGAAGUCCCUGUCCAGCACCUUGUUCUCUUCUGCCCGGGCCAUUGCCUCCAGUUCAGGAGAGGUUUCUGGGGACCAAUCUGCCAUGAACUUAUCCUUGGCCUCACAAUAGUUCACCACCACUUCCUCUGGCUGCUCCCCGAACAGCCAGUCUGAAAAACAAAAAUACAGCCAAGAGGGUGGAAAGGAGAGAAAAGCACUGUCAGGAAGAAUAUUUACUAUCUUCCAAUUUACUUAUUCUGCUUUCUAGAAGCUAAAAGUAGAGCAACAAACCUGCACAGUCAUGGAUGAGGUCUUUGAUGAGGUGGCCGAUGAUGGCAUAAAGAACAGACAGCACGAUGAAGACGGCCAUGAUCAGGUAGAGGACGUAGGUAGGCAGGUGGAUAGCAUCCCGAGAAGGUGGGAUGUAGGAUUCAAAGAACACAGUGCCAUCGUCCUCCUUGAAACGAACGUUUAAACUGUCCUCUGGUGGAUCCAUCGCAGCCUCGUAGUCUCUGCUGUCAGCCAGUGAGUCCACUUAAUGUCUCAAUGUCAUCGCUGUAUUAAGAACGCAGCAUAAAGAUUUAAUCUUACAGCGCGUUCUCUGCAACGACAACACAAACAGAUCAGGGAGGAACACUGUAUUGUCCAACUUUAAAAGUAACACUGCAGUGCUCUUACAUAAGGCAACAGCAAAGCUACUCAAAGUUAAGCAACUAAAGUAUCAGUGAAUAAAAGACAUUUACAUACAAUUUAAUUUCCAGUCUUUUGGCUAAACACUACAAUAAGCAAGUCGGAUUUGAAUUAAACGUACAUUCAUAUAGCUAUAUCGCACCUUGAAGAGUUUUUCAUUUUGUUUCCCUGAACAAACUCCUUAUCUGUCUGUCUGUGGAGCUACGCAGAAGGAAAUUAGAUUAGCUGCAGCGGCUUGAGGUAGACUGCUCAAGGUCAGAAGAAUGACUGUGAGUACAGGAUCUCAAUGAAGUGGAGCAUUUACCUGCUACAUCUAUCUAUCUAUCUAUCUAUCUAUCUAUCUAUCUAUCUAUCUAUCUAUCUAUCUAUCUAUCUAUCUAUCUAUCUAUCUAUCUAUCUAUCUAUCUAUCUAUCUAUCUAUCUAUCUAUCUAUCUAUCUAUCUAUCUAUCUAUCUAUCUAUCUAUGUAUUUCAUGCUUACAUCAGCAUUGACCAGUAUUUAAAAUGGCUGUUGUACAAUAAUCCUUGGCAUUUAUAAAUAAGGUCAUUGCCGCUGACACAACCAGGUAUUAGAAGAAGGUAAGAUGGAUUAACGAAAGCAGACAAGACACAACAACACACUUGUAUGUUUCAGUUGUUUACUUGAGAGAAGCUUAGUCCAACACCAGAACAGGAAAACUGAUGUAUGUUUACUUCAGGAACACAUCAGCACGUCAUAUAAUGGGGACGGUUUCACUGGUCAGUGUGGAAAAUGCUUAAAAAGUCAGUUCAUACUUCAUAUUUUGCAACAUGUUCAGCCUGGUCUUAUACACAAAGUCAACAUUGCGUUCUCACAUAAACAUCUUUUUACAUAUUUCAUUUACAUUUUGUAGCUUGACAAACUGGGUAGCGAAUAUUAAGACAGUAGAAUAUAAUUAAUCUGGACCACGUUUACAUUUAAAAAGAGAUGAAAGAAAGUAUUUUCUUGUAAAAUCAGUACAAGCUAUACCUAUAGUAUCUGCUUUUACAUAAAACAAAGCUCUAUUACAGCAAAGAAAACACUGAUCACUGCACCGAAAUGAUAAAAACUGAUAUGAACUGCUGCUGUGACAAAGUGAUGAGAACUCAAAGGGAAGUGACGUAAGGGGCGGCGGGGCAGGCAAAGGUUACACUAUGGAUAGAUAUUCUUUUAUCUCCAGGGCAUGAUGGAGCAAUGGCGCUUCUCAGAGGAGGAGGAGUGAACGGACGGCCUUGGUGGAAACCCGGCAGCGGUCCGUCCUUUUCUUUCUCCAUCCUCAGCUUGUCAUUGUCCAGCUGCUUAGUGGGAUUGCUGAGGCACCGCUCUUCCUCUAUUUCUCCUCGUCCUCCCUCUGAGUCAUCCUCCACUGGUUUGGGCCCGAACAUCCAGUCUGGGAGGAGAAAACAACAAGCUUACGUUAAAUAGAGUCAUGUGUUUUCGUGGCUUCUCAGUGAGAGUUUUAAAGGGGCACUCCAGCAAGUCAAAAUGGUCGACAAAGCCUGUUUUACAAACUGGAGAAGUGGACAUUUACCAGUCCAUGGAGGCCUAAUUAUGGUGCAAUUGAGGUUACAUCUACAUCAAUACAUUUGCAUUUAUUUUAAAACACCAUUUUAAUUUGAAAUAAUUUCCAUUUCUUAGUAACUCCUAAAAUGCAUCAUAUGACCGUUCAUGGACUCUGGGCAUGUGAAUGUUGGUGUAAACGUGAAGCAGGAGGUCAUUUGUGUUGUUGUUGAAUAAUACAAUAAAGGAACAGCAAUGGUGAAAAGUAGGACCUGAGAUGUCCUUAAUUGCACAACUAGUUCCACAAUUAAAGUGUGAUGUGUCAGGUACAAAAUGUGUAGAUGAAUAUCUGUGCAAUUGUUUCCCAAAAGUCUGCAGCAACGGGAUUUUCAAAGUAAAACUGGGCCAGCAGUGCUUCCAAAAGUCUCACUUUCAGGCAUCCAAUAACACCAGAGUUGUAUAUGUGAGGUGUCACAAGUUAUGUGUUUUAAAUGUAAAAUGUAUUAUUGUGGAUGUAAUCUCAGUUGCAUCAUGGGAAAUGAAGGAUUCAGUGUCUUUAGAGCUUUACCAGUACUAACCAUCAGGCUUUAAUAUUACCAGUUCAUUUGUUUUCUGCAAGCUCCCCAGCUUAGUGGAAGUGCACUACUAAAUUGCCAAAGUGCCCCUUUAAGAUGUUAUUUUAGCAGCAGCCAAUUGCUCAGAAUUGCUCAGUUUUCUGGCAUUCACCUUAACGGAGUAACAAAGACACAGUUGGGAAGGAUUUCCUCUGUGCACAAACCACAGGGCGAACGUGAAGGAAACUGUCAUCAGACCACAAAGUCAGCCAAAAAGGUUAAAAAAGGAAAGUACAAAACACUGAUGCAGCCUGAGCUCAAAAGCUGAGGGACAGAAAGGAUUCAAAGCCACCACAGACAUGAAUGUUGGAGUGGACGGGUAAGUAAGAGAGGGGGCAUGAGUUUGGGAUGUUCCUGCUGGGAAUGUUACCUGCCAGGUCAUGCAUCAGGUCAUUAAUGAGGUGUCCCACUAUGGCGUAAGUGGCCACUACGACCAGCAUCACCCCCACUAGGACAUAGACUACACUGCGUGGCAGAGGAAUAGCAUCUCUCGCCGGGGGAAUGUAGUCCACAAAAUAGGCCUCCUCCUCCUUCCUUCUGGAGAACUGGAGGAGCUGUCGGUGCUCAAACACCAGCUGUGUGAGGUUCAAAAGCAGGGCUCCUCCUGAGGCGUUCAGGGACGCAACCUGUUGUUGGCUCAUAGUUUGGCUGCUUUGUCUGUUUAAAGAAUGUGUGGAAGCUCCGAGGCUGUUUCUUUGGGUGAUUUAUUGCCUUGCUGCAGAUCCCAGCUUCUUCAGUGCACUGUGAACAUUUGGAAAGCAGGUGAUGCGCCAGAGAGGAGGAGGGAGAGGAACUGAGCAUUAGAAGAUUUGGAACAUUUUCUUGAAGCUGGGAAGAGUGACAGAGUUGAGUGACAGGUGGAAAUGUUACCGUGGUUUUAUAAUAUGAACGCUGUCUUUCAGUAGUGACAGUUUUCGGUCACAAAGUGGCUCCACAGAAAAAAAAUGUAGUUCACCAGACAAGUGAUACUAUAUGUGUGUCAAUUCUGCUAAUCUUUCGUCUAGACUUAAAUCCCAGCAUUCCUCCUUGUAGUCUUUCACACAGGGGUCCUCGGUCAUAUUUCCAGGAGAGCGAAGAGUGUGAGACAGAGGAGAGGUGAAUAUAGGACAGACAGAGUUAAUAGGAUUGAGUCUGUCAUAGAGCAAUAUCAGCUUUCCAUCUGCAGGGAUUAGAGAUAUGAGCGAGGAGAGGUGGACAGUAAUACCCUAAAGAGGCUUACGGUCGUCCAUGGCCAUGUUGCAUAUAGAUAUGAAAUGAUACAUAUAUUACAGUGAAACCGCUUCCUCAUGGGUUUAAACUGGCAUCAUGUUACAGAUAUGCCAUAUUUUAAAUUCAUCUUAGGCACAGCAGGUCCACUACUUAUAUUCUAUAAAUAUCUUGUCACAUAAUUCACUGAUACUAUAUUUUCACGGCUCAUUUCUUGCUUCAUUGCAGAGCAGAUGGUAAUAUUUCAAAACACAAUCUGAUGGAUAAAUAUUCCUAUGCGUAGAAAAAGUGUACAUCAACUUACAUGAAGUAAAUGACAAAGAACAAAACACCAAUUAUCUUUCUAAAAGAAGAAACAUGACAAAAUGCUAAACAUGAAAAGAGAUAAAUGGGGAAAAAUUAAAGAAAAACAAAACUCACCUGAAGUCAAAACAUGAAAUUUCUCUGUAGCUCUUCUCUUCUGGAUGAAAGGACUUCCAAACUGGUGUGUAUUGUAUGGAGACGGUUCUGGAAAUAACCACAAAGACACAGCAGAGAGUUAAGAUCAUGUAAACAAAAGGGCUUCUGUAUUUGCUGCUGUAUCACAGCAAACCACAAAACCCCACCAUCAUUGUUUCUCUCUGCAAGUGGGCAGGCAAGCAGUGAUCCAAAAACGUAUUUUUAUCCUCUCAGGUCUUCUUGGUGCAGCAUCAGGACGCAGAUGAUUUCCUCUAGGACUGAGGCUCAUUUUCUUUUUGUGUCUGUAGUCUGAUGAACUGAGAGAUGAUAAACUGCCAUUCAAUGAUGGUGACGGCUACGUUUGCAAAGAGAAUGAACCAGGAGACCGGGUGCAGGCCGUAGUAGAAGGUAUGCAUGAUGAGAUGUUGAAAAAAGACGCAAAAGGAUAAGGAGUGACAAUCAAAUCUUCUGGCAAAGGAGAGGCAGACAAGACGAGGUGAAAAAGCAAUGUCAAGUGUCUGAAUGUGUCUCACGAUGAGCCUGUCAGGGGAGUAACGCCGCCUGCGUCAGUAUCAAGGUGUUCCUUAGUAAUCCAGGAUUUAGUUGACACUGUCACCAGCAGCAGCUUUUCACCGAGUCAGCAGACAGUAAAACUGAAGAUGGAGUUCAUUUAACAUCAUUUAGCUAAAGAAUCUGGUGGUAGAUUUACACUGCCAGCAAUAACCAGAACUAUAGAACAAUUCACAAAUAACAAAAAUAAACACAAUUAAUUGUAUUUUCUUGUGCUAAAGUUUUAGAUAAUCUCCCAGCAUUACCUGUAAGAGGGACUUCUUCCUCAUUUACUUGCAGGAUUCACUUAGAUUAGUAUUUUAUUAAGUUAAGGUGGAUUUCCAAGUCUUCUCCAAGUAAAAAAAAAGAAAGAAAAAUAAAAAGCAGGGUGAAUGUAAAUGCGACCCCACAGUAAGCACUAGAAGCUGAACUGCUCUUGCAGACUAGUCCUAAGCGAAAUAACUUCCAGUCAUUCAGUCAGCUAGAUCCAUAUCGACUCCGACUGCCUCAGGCCGGGGUGACCACCUUUUUGGGUUUGUCUUCUGGCUCCAUUAUCCACUUGAAGUAGACAUCGCUCAAGAUGAAGCCCCAGUAGACGACGGUUAGGGAGGUGUUGACGGUCAUGAUGGCGAUAAUUAAAGGGUGCAGCAUGGUGGCGGACUGGGUGGACUCUUGAAAAUCUGUGUUGCCUUCAAAAAAAAAACAGUAUCUGCUGUUUGGGUGAAGGAUUGUCUACUAGUAGAAUCACCUCUCUGCCUGCUUCUACUGUCCUCGUGGACUCCCCACCCCUCUCCACUCUCUCUUUCUACUGGUCACUAAGUUUCUGUGGCAACAGCAGCAUAAUCCUCUUCAGCAGCUUUGUUACAGAAGAUAAAGUUGCAUUAGAUGUAAACCUGCUUUACAAAUGUUAUUCAUCCAUAAGAUGUUGUUGCGUAAUGUACAUAUUUAUUCCUGCAUACAAAAGACUGGUAUAAAACAAUACUUUGAUAUGGAAACUGUACAGUAAGUGCAACAAUGAUUACACCCUGACUGAAAAAACAUAAUCUUUGUAGUG
ensembl:lncRNA